rnacentral:lncRNA from 10 species
CUGGGAUUACAGGUAUGAGCCACAACACCCAGCCUUUAACGUGCCUUUCUGACUCAUCUCCUUCUCUCCGUCUUGCCUAUCCCACCACCCACUGCACCGUGGUCUCGGGCUCACUGUGCCACCAACAAGUCUUCCUCUUGGCGCCAGCUUCUUCUGCUCCUCUGAGCUUCUCCUGCUCCUCUCUGCCUCAUCUCCCAAAGCCCCUUCCUCUUUGGCCUCUUCCAGGUCAUUCUCUCUGACUCUCAUCUGCACUGUCCUCUCCCUUUCUGGGGUCAUCAGCCACACCAAGGUCUUGGUCAGUUAACUCAGCGUGACCUUGUCUGCCUCUCCAAUUAUAUCAUAAACAACCUGUGGACCGCACCUUGGGGGGCCUUCCUAAGUGCUCCCCAUGUCUUUCCGCAUGGCUCCUGAAGGGGUCCAGGGUCUCGUGUUGUCAUGUGCCUGUGCUUCUGCCCACUCCUCGGGUGCUCACAAGGGUAGGGCUGCCUGGGUGACAGUACGGCCUCCUGCAGCUGCGGGAGAGGGAGUCCAGAGGUGGCAGGAGAGGGAGUCCAGAGGUGGCAGGAGAGGGAGGCAGCCAUGGAGGGUGACACCCACUGAUGCAUUUCUCAGUCCAGUGAAUGCAGUCACUUUGGAUUUGUGAGAAUUGGGACCAGUGUUACUGCCACUAUCUACAGAGGCCUCACAAGGUUGUCUGUGCUAGCAAGUGAGUGAUUAGCAAAGACGCACUCCUGUGACACAUUAUGUUGAAAGUGCCAUCAUCAGAACCACACCACAGGGCAGUGGUUCUCCGGCAACGGCAGCCUCGGGAAACUUGAGAGAAACACAGAUUCUCCAGCCCCACCCCAGACCAAAGAAAUCAGAAGCUCUGGGGGUGGGGCCAGGAACCUGUGUUUUAACCAUCUCCCCAGCUGAUUCUGAUUCAGGCUAAAGCUGGGUGUCAGGCGAAGGGUGGGCAAGGUCUGGAGGCCCAAGCAUUUGAGGAACCUGCCCUGAUGGUGUAAAUAGUGUGCUGUGGGAGGUGCACCCGCCCUGAUGGUGUAAAUGGUGUGCUGUGGGAGGUGCACCCGCCCUGAUGGUGUAAAUGGUGUGCUGUGGGAGGUGCAUUUGGGGUGUUAUUCUGCUAACUGACUAACAUCAAAUCCAGUGGGCCAGCAAUCCAGCUUGGGGGCUUUCAGGAGCAGGGUGCUGCGUGAACCCUCAUUUAACCCUCCCUACAAUGUGGUGCCACGGGAGUGCAUGCACCUGUUUCAGAGAUGAAGACAAAAGGCCCUCAUGGAGUCAUUUGUCCCAAGCCAUCCUGGUUGUCUGUGGUGUGCCCAUGGGUGGAGGGGCCCCGGCGGGAGAUUAAGGCUGUGUAUUAGGGUUCUUGAGAGAGACAGAACCAAUAGUAUCUGUCUGUCUACACCUAUCUAGAUAGCUAGAUGAGAAGGGAUUUGUUGGGAGAAUUGGCUCACACAUUUGUGGAGGCUGAGAAGUCCCACCACUGGCUGUCUCCAAGCUGCAGACCCUGGGAUGCUGGUGGUGAGGCUCAGUCCAAGUCCGAAGGCCUGAGAACCCAGGGGCCACGGGUGUAAGUCCUGAAGUCCAAAGGCUGGAGCGCCUGGAGUUCUGAUGUCCAAGGACAAGAGAAGAAGAGCACCCCAGCUCCAAGAGGGAGAGACACCAACUCGCCUUUCCUCUGUUUUUGCUCUCUCUGGGCCCCCAGUUGAUUGGAUGGUAUCACUCACAUUAAGAGCAGAUCUUCCCCACUUACUCCACUCAGACUCACGUGCCAGUGUCCUCUGGAGACACUCUCACAGACACACCCCAAAAUAAUGCCUCAUCAGGUUCCUGGGUACUGCUUCAUCCAGUCAAGCAGACACCUAGAAUUAACCAUCGUGGUUGGGAGGCUGGAGGAGGCCUGAGCGCUGGGGCCAGGUGGCAGAGGAGCUGGAGUGAAGGGACACAGAUCUCGCCUUCACCCACCAGUGGCCCUGGGGACUGCUUUCAGGGCGCACUGCCCGUUACACAGGUGCUCGAAUUGUAAAGAGUGUUUCAAAUGUUUACAAUGGCAGGUUUGUCAUGAAGCAGUGUUAGCUGCAGAGACAAUGUUUCUGACAUAGAGCAGUGCUGAAUAGACUGUUAAUAACUAGUGGGAAAUGGACGAGGUUUGGGAAGUGACUGCUCCAGGUCCAGGAAGGACGCUCCUAGCUGAGCAAAGGGCAUUGGGCAGAACUCACAGGCCUUCACCGGGGCCCAGAGCAUGGGGCUCCGGAGAGCAGGCUGCCUGCUGGGAAAAAAUCAACAACUUAUCUGAAGGGAAAAAAGGCAGAUUGUCGGCACAGCAGAACAGGUAAAAACAUUUAAUUGCGCACACAUUGCCGUGUCACUGGUCAACAUGUCCUUGUUCUGAAAAAGGAAGGAAACAGGCUGAGGCUAACUGAACCUGCCAGGAGGCUGUUCAUCUGCCUUAUCCUCUCCUCUCGGGACAGCUGGGGCUGGUUCUGGGAUAGGACCCACCCCGGGGACCCCUGAAGGAUAUUUGAAGAAAGUUCUGGAAGUGGGGGUGCAGGACACCCAGAGAAAUAUGAGAAGUCAUCAAAAACCCAAGGGCUGUGAGCCCCUGCCCUGCCCUUCUUCCCGCUAAGAGGCUGGGGAGAUGCCACAGUUUGUAGCAAGUGGGCCACGAAUGCUCCUUUUCUGAUGAAUGGAAUCAAAUUCACGUCUUGCUUUUCCAGGUGUUCUGUGCAGCAGGAGAAGGAACUGUCAGGAAGAAGAUAAAGUCUAGGUGAGUCCGAAGGCUGAGGCCCAGAAGGAGGUGUGAUAACUUUU